AGUCAUGAAUGUUUAACUAAAUUCGGCACGUCCUAUGACAACGUUGAACUGACCCUCGUCCUGAGAA
rnacentral:sRNA from 1 species